rnacentral:rRNA from 1 species
GUCGGUGUUGAUUGCAAUGAGGGUCCACCCGUUCCCAUCCCGAACACGGUAGUUAAGCUCAUUUGCGCCGAAGAUACUUGGCUGGAAGCGGCCCGGAAAAAUAGGUAAUGCCGACA